AGUCCAUUAUUCUCUGAUCCACUCUCUUUAAAACUCCUCAUCUCUAAAUUGGCGUCAAAGCGACGCCGGUUCAGUGGCGCCAACUAUGACGGCGAAAUGCUGGAAAAUUCCCGCAAAUUCUUGGCCAGAAUCUUUGGGAUAAGAUAUACACAAAAGCAUGGUAUACAGAAUCAAAAGAGUACGGUUUUCGUUCUGAGUUGAUUUGCUCAACUGCUUAUAAGAUGAAUUGUGCCAAUGUGCCCUGGACAACCAUCACCAACUAUGCCCCUGGUUUACAAUAUUAGUUUGGUUCCUGAUUCUUGGUGACCUUGGUGUGAAAUCCUUCUAAUUUGCCCUGCAGGUUGAGCUUAGUUCUAAGAAGUCCUACCUUGGACACACUCACACAGUGCAAUUGCUAGGUGAAUUGGCCCCCUUCAUCAUAUAAAGGUUGUAGCUGAUAAAGUUGAUUAUCUGUACUUUCUCCUCAUCGAGCUAGUGUCCAGUUUCAUUGAUAUGGUACAUACUCCCUCUCCAUUGGGGGUAAUUGUCACAUAAUCCAACUCACAUAGACAGGUGAAUAUUUACAAAGCUCACUAAAAUACUCUAUUAAUCUAUGUUGUUUCCAUAUUCUCUCCACCUCUGUAAUAGUCUAGAAAGUGUAAAAAUUCUUCCCGAACAUUUUAAAAUAGUAUUAUGUAGUCAGUACUACAUACUGACUUGUUUAUGGAAGAACGGGGGACAAUAUAUCAUCUGGUACCAAAAAAAUUACCCAUCUUUUUAUAUUACGUUGUUGUUUUCUCAUUGUCCAGAUUCAAUGUGCUGUCUUGGAUUACCUGGAGCUUUUAGUGGAUUGAAAAAAAAAAAAAAAAAAAAAAGAGAAUGAUUGGAAAAUAUAUUUUACUUCCUAAAAUAAUAAAAACAAAACAAACAAAAAAGAAAAAAUGUUUUAACGCACACACCGGAGUUAUGGAAGACAUGUUUCACGUUUGCAGUACUAGGUCAAACAAUAAAAACA